rnacentral:tRNA from 1 species
ACCUGGCUGGCUCAGUUAGAAGAGCACACGGUGACUCUUGAUCUUGGUGUUAUGGGUUCGAGCCCCAUGUUGGGUG